GGGAUAACUGCUCGAAAGAGCAGCUAAUACCGCAUACGACCUGAGGGUGAAAGCGGGGGACCGUAAGGCCUCGCGCGAUUGGAGCGGCCGAUGUCAGAUUAGCUAGUUGGUGGGGUAAAGGCCUACCAAGGCAACGAUCUGUAGUUGGUCUGAGAGGACGACCAGCCACACUGGGACUGAGACACGGCCCAG
rnacentral:rRNA from 1 species